UGACUUACCCGGCAGGGGCAAUAGUAUGAUCAAGGAGGUGUUUUGCCCAAAGCAAGGCUUAGCCAUCACACUCAGGCUGUGCUGACCUUUGUGAAUACACCAAAUGCAGGAAUCUUAGCUGUAUAAUUUCGGACAGUGUAUGUGCACUGUCCUCUUUCUCAUUAA